rnacentral:rRNA from 1 species
AGAGUUUGAUCCUGGCUCAGGAUGAACGCUGGCGGCGUGCCUAAUGCAUGCAAGUCGCACGCAGGGUGCUUGCACUCUGAGUGGCGCACGGCUGAGGAUCACGUGGGAACAUGCCUCCUUGUGGGGGACAACACCGCGAAAGCGGUGCUAAUCCCGCAUACGCUCGGCAACGAGGAAAGCGGCAACGCGCAGGGAGAGUGGCCCGCGGCCCAUCAGGUCGUUGGUGGGGUAAUGGCCUACCAAGCCGGUGACGGGUAGCUGGUCUGUGAGGACAGACAGCCAGACUGGGACUGAGACACGGCCCAGACUCCUACGGGAGGCAGCAGCAAGGAAUUUUCGUCAAUGGGCGCAAGCCUGAACGAGCAACGCCGCGUGGAGGACGACGGCCUUCGGGUUGUAAACUCCUUUUUGGGGAGAUGAUACGGACAGUAUCCUCAGAAUAAGCCCCGGCUAACUCUGUGCCAGCAGCCGCGGUAAUACAGAGGGGGCAAGCGUUGUCCGGACUUACUGGGCGUACAGCGCGCGCAGGCGGUUCCAUAUGUGCCUGGUGACAUCGUGCCGCUCAACGGCACGCGGCCCGGGUAGACAGUGGAGCUGGAGGCAGGGAGAGGGAUGUGGAAUACCCGGUGGAGCGGUGAAAUGCGUAGAGAUCGGGUGGAAUACCAGCGGCGAAGGCGGUAUCCUGGCGAUGACCUGACACUGAGGCGCGACAGCGUGGGGAGCAAACGGGAUUAGAUACCCCGGUAGUCC